rnacentral:rRNA from 1 species
GACGAACUCUGGCGGCGUGCCUAAUACAUGCAAGUCGAGCGGACCGGAUUGGGGCUUGCCUUGAUUCGGUCAGCGGCGGACGGGUGAGUAACACGUGGGCAACCUGCCCGCAAGACCGGGAUAACUCCGGGAAACCGGAGCUAAUACCGGAUAACACCGAGGACCGCAUGGUCUUCGGUUGAAAGGCGGCCUUUGGGCUGUCACUUGCGGAUGGGCCCGCGGCGCAUUAGCUAGUUGGUGAGGUAACGGCUCACCAAGGCGACGAUGCGUAGCCGGCCUGAGAGGGUGACCGGCCACACUGGGACUGAGACACGGCCCAGACUCCUACGGGAGGCAGCAGUAGGGAAUCUUCCGCAAUGGGCGAAAGCCUGACGGAGCGACGCCGCGUGAGCGAAGAAGGCCUUCGGGUCGUAAAGCUCUGUUGUGAGGGACGAAGGAGCGCCGCUCGAAGAGGGCGGCGCGGUGACGGUACCUCACGAGAAAGCCCCGGCUAACUACGUGCCAGCAGCCGCCGUAA